rnacentral:lncRNA from 1 species
AUAUUAAUGCAUAUACCUAUAUAAAACAAUAUUACCAGCCUAGAACUGAGAGCUUUAUAUUAGCACACCUACUGUGAGUGGCUAGUAAAACCCAUUCUGCAGCGCAAUUUCUCGAUGCCAUAAUUAAUUGAUUGCCGCCAGAUAGUUUCUCCGUCGAGUUUCCCGUUUCUCGGAAUGCAUUUGCAAGCCACCAGUUGACCCUGGGACCCAUCUGGUGAUGGUACUCACAACUUACAACUCACAGCUCGCAAACACACACCCAACCCCGCAAACAAAACAGUUGGCUAAUUAAACGAAAGCUUCCUCUGAUCAAACAUUGAUUGUGCAUUAAACUGCUGGCCAAACAAGCAAAUAUUCGGGCCCAAACAAAGCCUACUCGCCAACAAUUGUGGACAAAUUGUGGGUGAAUUAGCGUCUCGGCCGGGGCGCAAGUGUAAAUAUUUAUUGCACUAGGCCACACCUACGAGCGAAAUAUAAAAUCAAGCCAAGGAGGCUGGCCCACCAAGUCAACCCUCGGGACAUAACUCGGAUAGCUCCGGUGGCAGGAAGCGACUAAUUUGAGCAACCCUUGUGGCCGGGCAAACACCUCAGCGCACCAGAUCGAACAAAGCCAAGGCCAAAACAGAAAUUGGAGUUGACAUGUGUAUCCUUUUCAUUAACUCGCGACGCCAGCGCCGACAGGCUGUGUGGUCCUGCGGCAUAUCCCGUCCAAAUGCUCUCCACAAAGGCAACUUUCAACAAGUCAGAGCGGGAUUUUGGUGGUAAAAACUUUUUAUUACCCUAUAUGUUUUGUAAAGAAUUUUAAGACUUAUAGUUUACCGAACAUUUAUCUUAAAAGAGUUGCCAAGUAUGUAUUACAUCUAAGUUUCGAUCACAAACCAUCUAGAGCAAGAUAUUUUGUUUACACCUAUAACUAUUUAAUAAACAAUAUUUUCAAAUU